AAGACUGCAAGUCGAACGGCAAAACAAAUAGUUUACUAGGUGUUUCUUAGUGGCGGACGGGUUAGUAACACGUGAGUAACAUGCCUCAAAGUGGGGGAUAGCCUUCCGAAAGGAAGAUUAAUACCGCAUGUGAUCUUCGGAUCAAAGAUGCCUUCGGGUGUCGCUUUGAGAUUGGCUCGCGGCCUAUCAGCUAGUUGGUGAGGUAACGGCUCACCAAGGCAACGACGGGUAACUGUUCUGAGAGGAAGAUCAGCAACACUGGAACUGAGACACGGUCCAGACACCUACGGGUGGCAGCAGUCGAGAAUCAUUCACAAUGGACGAAACUCUGAUGCAGCAACGCCGCGUGGAGGAUGACACAUUUCGGUGCGUAAACUCCUUUUAUAUGUCAAGAUAAUGACGGUAGCAUAUGAAUAAGCACCGGCUAACUUCGUGCCAGCAGCCGCGGUAAUACGAGGGGUGCAAGCGUUACUCGGAAUCACUGGGCGUAAAGAGAAUGUAGGCGGGUAAUUAAGUUGGAAGUGAAAUCCUAUGGCUCAACCAUAGAACUGCUUCCAAAACUGAUUACCUANAGUAUGGGAGAGG
rnacentral:rRNA from 1 species